GAUGAAUACAAAAGCAACAGUACAUGCCCUAUGGACUACCUGUGCCUCAGGUGUCGAGUGGAUUACGAUAAGCCAACCGUGUCGCGAGUGAAAAAUUCUUGCCUCGAUUGUGCUGUGGAUACCCAUUACACUUGGAUUGGCCAUGGUGGUGUGAUUGCUGUCACUCGCACGAACCGUAAAGAUGCAGAUGGAGGACUGCUUGACGUUAAGUUCGUCUUAAGUCCUAACAGCAGAAUUCCUCCUCAGCAGUUGUUCAAUAGCAAAAAUUACCCAGUUACACUUGAAGUCCUUCCUAAGUCACAGGUCGACAGGUGAGUUACCUGCUUAUAUCUGUCAAUGUAUUAUCCUUUUGUCCAUCUAUCUACCUAUCUAACUUUAUUGACAGAAUGGCUAACAGAAGGACUCAACAAUCUAGAGGCAUUAACCAUUAUUUUAAUAUCUUAAAUGAAUUUUUAUGCUCAAGCUUAUGUACAAUACCAUAUGAAGGGAUUAUUUGAUUAAUAUCAAGAUAAAAUGACGGUAAUGCACAUUAAAAAUAUUUUGAUUUGUUGAAUAACAUUAUUUUCAUUUUACACAAUAUUUCUAAUUAUUCAAGAUUAACUACUUGUAACCUCCUUAUAGCACUAAAGCUUGUCAAAGUGUAUAAGUAAACACAUUUUCAAUUCCAAUUUCACAAGGCGUGCCCAGGAGAUGAUAUUUCAAUUGAAAGAUCAAGGGAAUGAAUUGGCCCAAGCCAUUGCUUUUGACAAAAGUAUUCCAGAGCUUGACAAAGAUCACCGCGACCUGGGACAACAUAA